UAUAAUUAACUUGACUUAACUCAAUAAUACACAAGAAAAUUGAACCUAAAGAAUAUGGAAGGAAAAUAACUAAUAAAAACUAAAUCAAAUUUUAAAUCAAUCUUCAAUAGAACCAGCAUGUUGAGGACGCCUCUGUAAACUGUGAAUAUGAUCACCCAAAGUUGCAAGCGAAGCUGUGGAUCUUAGGCUUUGAAGAUUCUGCACUGUUUAGGAGCCUCUGCAAUUUCUGGAAAUUUUCUGCAGAUUUAUGAAAAACAGAGGAAAGGAUUUUUGGAACAGAGGAAAAGAAAUUGACAC
rnacentral:lncRNA from 1 species